GCCAGGUAUGGCGGUGCAUGCCUAUAGUCCCAGCUACUUGGGAGGCUGAGGUAGGAGGAUGGCUUGAGCCCAGGAGGCAGAGGUUGCAGUGAGCUGAGAUCGAGCCACUGCACUCCAGCCUGGGCAACACAGCCCGACCCUGUCUCAA
ensembl:misc_RNA Metazoa_SRP Metazoan signal recognition particle RNA